rnacentral:Y_RNA from 1 species
GGCUGGUCCGAGUGCAGUGGUGUUUACAACUAAUUGAUCACAACCAGUUACAGAUUUCUUUGUUCCUUCUCCACUCCCACUGCUUCACUUGACUAGACAUUU